rnacentral:rRNA from 1 species
AGAGGUUGAUUCUGGCUCAGGAUGAACGCUGGCGGCGUGCCUAACACAUGCAAGUCGAGCGAAGCACUUUGCUUAGAUUCUUCGGAUGAAGAGGAUUGUGACUGAGCGGCGGACGGGUGAGUAACGCGUGGGUAACCUGCCUCAUACAGGGGGAUAACAGUUAGAAAUGACUGCUAAUACCGCAUAAGACCACAGCACCGCAUGGUGCAGGGGUAAAAACUCCGGUGGUAUGAGAUGGACCCGCGUCUGAUUAGCUAGUUGGUAAGGUAACGGCUUACCAAGGCGACGAUCAGUAGCCGACCUGAGAGGGUGACCGGCCACAUUGGGACUGAGACACGGCCCAAACUCCUACGGGAGGCAGCAGUGGGGAAUAUUGCACAAUGGGGGAAACCCUGAUGCAGCGACGCCGCGUGAGCGAAGAAGUAUUUCGGUAUGUAAAGCUCUAUCAGCAGGGAAGAAUUAGGACGGUACCUGACUAAGAAGCACCGGCUAAAUACGUGCCAGCAGCCGCGGUAAUACGUAUGGUGCAAGCGUUAUCCGGAUUUACUGGGUGUAAAGGGAGCGUAGACGGAUGGGCAAGUCUGAUGUGAAAACCCGGGGCUCAACCCCGGGACUGCAUUGGAAACUGUUCAUCUAGAGUGCUGGAGAGGUAAGUGGAAUUCCUAGUGUAGCGGUGAAAUGCGUAGAUAUUAGGAGGAACACCAGUGGCGAAGGCGGCUUACUGGACAGUAACUGACGUUGAGGCUCGAAAGCGUGGGGAGCAAACAGGAUUAGAUACCCUGGUAGUCCACGCCGUAAACG